AAGAUGCUCAACAUUCUCAAAGAAACACUCGAGAUUCGGCGACAAUUCAGGCUGCCAAUCUGACGCAACAGCCACUUGCAGCGUACGUGCCAAUUAGGACUUUGGAAAUUGGCGCGUCUGGCCCUCUAAGUUCUCUUGAAAGCAUUGCUCAAAACCAGAAAUCUCAUUCGCUGCAAGAACCUGAGGCUGGUGCAUCCGACUCUGGACAAAAUCCAAUAGGAAAUUCAACUAGGAUUGUCUCAGAGCCUAGUGGAUCUAACAAUCCAGGAUUUUGCGUAAUGUGUGAAGAGGAUUUUAAAGACAUUCACGCUCAUUGGAGAGAAUGGCACUACAUUCAAUUAGGCGUUCAAAAUCCUUGCUAUCAAGUGUACGAACACUUUGGUGCAACAUUUUUAAUACCGCAUUUCACACACGAUGAUGAAUUACAAAAAUGCCCCACAUGUAAGUUCAUGUUCUUCAAACUUCGUAGCGACGACCAUGGCUGUCCCGUUUCAUCAAGCCGCUCAGCCGAACCAAUUGCCAACUUUGCUCCAGUCCUUCCUUCAGGACUUGUUAAACUAGAAGGAUAUUGCUUGAUGUGCCAAUUCACCUUUCCUGAUGUGUGGAGCCAUAGGUUCCAAUUUCACAAGGGAAACGCAAAAUACACGUUCAAAAAUGUUUAUGGAAUAAUGGCACUCCUACCUGAUGAAACUAGUGUGAGAAAUGAACUGGGUCAAUGCACGCCUUGCUGGAAGAUUAAGUACAAGAAGAAACUGUCUUAUGAUAGGAUUAAUCAUACCUUCUACUGUCCACCUUGCUUCCUUAUUUGGAAGAAGUAGAAAAAAAUUGAAGAAUAAAUCGGCGUAGAGAACGAUUUGUGAUCUUAUUUGGAGAAUGCAAAUAAGUUUGAAUAAAUUUCUCGAUUCGCUAGAAA